rnacentral:rRNA from 1 species
CCGACGCCUGCGACCCCCUGGCAAACCCUAACGCCCAUCCCCCUCGUCUCCCUCUCCGCCUCUCGAUUUCGUCCACACCCGAGACCACAGUUGCUGCUGCCUUCUCGAUCCCGUGGCCACCGGCCUCACCUCAUCGCGCCAAGACGUCCAGGAGUUCCUCCAUCGUCUUCUCCUUCGCCCUCGCCUAAGGGCUCGAGCUAGGAGGGCUGGUAAGCUCGACAUCGAGCAUAUCUUCGUCGGUACAUCGCCGGUGUCCGACGUCGUUUGCCACGGCUCCGGUCCACCUCCGGCCUCCCCGACCACAUCUUCGAGCUCGCG